GAUAUGAAAGCGAUCUGGCUGUGACAUCUGUCACCCCAUUGAUCACCAACUUUGAUUUGGAUUGAUGUGGCUGGCUAGGUGGGCAUCCCUUUCCUCCCUACCAUGUCCCAUGCAUCCCUCCUGAAGCUGCAUGUUUGGUCAAAGAGGAUGACAUUCCCUGAUAGAGGAAGACAAUUAUUCCUGUCAAGAGUAGCUGUGCUCCCCUCCAAGAACUUGCAAACAGCUCAAAAUAAAUAGAUAGAUAAAUAAAUAAAUAAAUAAAUAAAAGUCUAUAACAUAAAGGACUCCAGGUUCAUUCAUUUUAU
ensembl:misc_RNA 7SK 7SK RNA